UAACAACAUCAUCACGAGAAAAUUCUUCAGGAGCGUACCUUCAAGAGUUUUAGGCUUCUCAGGAUAUCCUUUUAAGAACGUAGAAGAAUUUGAACAAUUUUAUGAAGAUUUUAAAAAUAAAGAAGAAAAUCGUAAUGCUAUGAGAUAUUACCAAGGAGGUUCAACUCCAAUAUAGUGUUUGUGGGAAAAAAUCCUAGACUGUGGCAAAAAAAGUUUCAAGGAUACCCAAUUAUUUCAAAUAAUGGAAGAAUUUUCAAAAACGAAAAAUUUGGAGUCAAAAGAAAAACUGUGCAUCAUUACCGAAGUGAGCACAUAUUUGUCCGGUGCUAAAGACCGGAAUGGCGGCCGAGCACAACGUGGAAGAGACUGAACUAGUGGAUCCACACUCCUAUAGAUAGUCCAUGAAGAUUAGAAUAAUUUAUAUUUUGUGCAAAGUUUAUA